rnacentral:rRNA from 1 species
UACGGGGGGGGCAAGCGUUGUUCGGAAUUACUGGGCGUAAAGGGCUCGUAGGCGGCCAACUAAGUCAGACGUGAAAUCCCUCGGCUUAACCGGGGAACUGCAUCUGAUACUGGAUGGCUAGAGAUUGGGAGAGGGAUGCGGAAUUCCAGGUGUAGCGGUGAAAUGCGUAGAUAUCUGGAGGAACACCGGUGGCGAAGGCGGCAUCCUGGACCAACACUGACGCUGAUGGGCGAAAGCCAGGGGAGCAAACGGG